UGUUGGGGAAAAGCUGCAUCCUUCCCCCUGGUAGCGCCGGAGGUUAUCCUUCACCUGAGGAACCUCCGACGCCUGAAACGUCGGAGGAUAUCCUUCGACGGGUAAUGCUAAUGUUGACGACUCGUCUGGUCGUGCAGAGUGUGUGCAGGGACUGAAGCGCCGGCGGAGGUCCACGGGUGAGGAAAAGGUUGGAACCUCCGACCCUCCCGAGUCCGAGGAUGGCAGGAGAACGCAGCCAGGCCAAGG
rnacentral:lncRNA from 1 species